AGUGAACGCUGGCGGUAGGCCUAACACAUGCGAGUCGAACGGCAGCACAGAGGAGCUUGCUCCUUGGGUGGCGAGUGGCGGACGGGUGAGGAAUACAUCGGAAUCUACUCUGUCGUGGGGGAUAACGUAGGGAAACUUACGCUAAUACCGCAUACGACCUACGGGUGAAAGCCGGGGAUCUUCGGACCUUGCGCGAUUGAAUGAGCCGAUGUCGGAUUAGCUAGUUGGCGGGGUAAAGGCCCACCAAGGCGACGAUCCGUAGCUGGUCUGAGAGGAUGAUCAGCCACACUGGAACUGAGACACGGUCCAGACUCCUACGGGAGGCAGCAGUGGGGAAUAUUGGACAAUGGGCGCAAGCCUGAUCCAGCCAUACCGCGUGGGUGAAGAAGGCCUUCGGGUUGUAAAGCCCUUUUGUUGGGAAAGAAAUCCAUCUGGUUAAUACCCGGGUGGGAUGACGGUACCCAAAGAAUAAGCACCGGCUAACUUCGUGCCAGCCGCCGCGGUAA
rnacentral:rRNA from 1 species